rnacentral:rRNA from 1 species
AAUUUGAAAUCUGGCACCUUCGGUGUCCGAGUUGUAAUUUGAAGAAGGUAACUUUGGAGUUGGCUCUUGUCUAUGUUCCUUGGAACAGGACGUCACAGAGGGUGAGAAUCCCGUGCGAUGAGAUGCCCAAUUCUAUGUAAAGUGCUUUCGAAGAGUCGAGUUGUUUGGGAAUGCAGCUCUAAGUGGGUGGUAAAUUCCAUCUAAAGCUAAAUAUUGGCGAGAGACCGAUAGCGAACAAGUACAGUGAUGGAAAGAUGAAAAGAACUUUGAAAAGAGAGUGAAAAAGUACGUGAAAUUGUUGAAAGGGAAGGGCUUGAGAUCAGACUUGGUAUUUUGCGAUCCUUUCCUUCUUGGUUGGGUUCCUCGCAGCUUACUGGGCCAGCAUCGGUUUGGAUGGUAGGAUAAUGACUAAGGAAUGUGGCUCUACUUCG